rnacentral:rRNA from 1 species
CAAAAGCGUAUAUUAAAGUUGUUGCAGUUAAAAAGCUCGUAGUUGAACCUUGGGCUUGGCUGGCCGGUCCAUCUUUUUUGAUGCGUACUGGACCCAGCCGAGCCUUUCCUUCUGGCUAGCCUUUUGGCGAACCAGGACUUUUACUUUGAAAAAAUUAGAGUGUUCAAAGCAGGCCUUUGCUCGAAUAUAUUAGCAUGGAAUAAUAGAAUAGGACGUUAUGGUUCUAUUUUGUUGGUUUCUAGGACCAUCGUAAUGAUUAAUAGGGACGGUCGGGGGUAUCAGUAUUCAGUUGUCAGAGGUGAGAUUCUUGGAUUUACUGAAGACUAACUACUGCGAAAGCAUUUACCAAGGACGUUUUCAUUAA